rnacentral:lncRNA from 1 species
UUUUCUUUUUUGUUUAAUAACCAAAACUAUUUUGAAAAUAGACAUUUUGCUAUCGUAUUUAACAAGACUGUGUCAUGAUUUCUCUAUUGGGUUUGCCUAAUACAUUGCAACUGCGAAAAUCAAGCAGAUGCAGAACUCACGCUGUUGUUACAAAACCCUAGAAAAUUAUGGCAUGUUUUGCAUUUUGCACCAAAACACUGACUUCUCAAUUAGAAACAACACAUUAUUUUCAUAAAGGACUGUAGAUAUUCCUCACCCCACCAAGAAUAUUAUGCACUAACCAAAUAGAGCAUAGAUUCAUACUAUCUGAUAUGAAAAUCACCCAAUAAAAAAUAUAUGAUAACAUUAAUGCAGUCAUUAACAGCAGACCUUUCCUCUACUAAGACAACAUAACAAAGCAUAUGGCAUAUCUCAGGGAGAACGGCAAAUAGUCACAUUCUUGAGAUAGCAUGCAAUUUUCUGGCUUGUUUAAUAAACUCUGAACUACAUUUCAGGCAGGAGAAGACAAAUGUCCCAGAGAAGAAUGUGUGGCUUCAUUUUCAUUGAAAUUUCUUAAUAAGUAACAAGAAAAUAAAUAAAAUAAAUAAGACAAGAUAAACUGAAAUUAAGAGGUUGCUAAAUAGAAUCAACACUGAUUGCUGGAGAAAACUCUACAUCUCAGAGAGCAGUCCUUGGAACUACUAUGUAAACUAAAUGAUGAGCAGGUCACAGAGACCGAAUAGAUUCCAGCAGGCAGUAUAUCAUACAGGUUGUUUACUUGUAUCCCAAAAGCCUGUAUGUGGUGUUGCGUUUGGUGUUCCCUAGCAAAAAAAAAUGGGAUAUGACAAAAAAAAAAAAAAUCCUCCUGAGAGGUAAAGGCUGCUUUUGUUUUCCCAAGACAACUUUUGGUGCAGUCUUUUGUGACACUUUGUGUACAUCAUUAUGAUAUAAAUACAAAUUGUAAUUUUUCACAGUUUGCUUUGCUCUGUGCUAUAGUCAAACUCUGCUCCCUUCCUGCAACUAAACAGGCCAAUCACCCUGACUUGUAACUGCCCAUUCAAACAUCUGCAAUAAAGCACAGUUAGCUUUAAUAGGGUCACCACAACCUCCAGGAAAACUAGGACCUGCCAGGCAAUUUGGCAAUCUAAGGAGGAUCUGUAGAGAAACCUGAAAGAAUAAUGUGGGUGGAUCCUGGUAAAGUCCCAUACAGCCUAUUUCUAUUUAAAAUGGUUUGUGA